CAGGCGAGCAGCUAAAAUCCCGACCACACCGGUGCCUGCUCCCAGCUCAAUGACGCGCUGUCCUCUCAGCUCCACCGACUCUUCCUCCAGCUUCCCAGACCGGAGCGGCCACGCCGAGGUUGGCACCGAACACUUGUUUUAUCCGCACUUCUUCCCCCAUCAUGUCAAACACCGAGUCCAGACAAAAUGUCUCUGCGAACAGGCAGUCAUCGACGGGGAACGGGUCCUCUUCGUCUCCAACACAAGUCAUGACCAAAAGCUGAAUGAAAACAGAUUUAUAUUUUACACACGAGGCGGGGGAAAAAAACACAACUGCCCCUUUAAACAUUAGACGAGCGUUUUACUUCCGGUUUCAGAAAGUAAACAUUACGCCCAUCUACUUCCGUUUCCAGGUCAAAUACGUAGCGUUUUGACUUUAAUUUUACAAAUAAAAUGUUGGUGUUUAAUAGUACGAUCAUACUAAGAAUUACUACAAAUCACUGCCGCACCUAUUAGAUAAAAAAUGCUCUGUCUCAAAAAAUGUUAGUGUGAUAUGUGUGGCUUUUAUUUUGAAAUGAGACAGUUCAUUACUGACUUUUUUGUAUUAACUUUUAUCUAUUGCUUUAAGAUUUUUUUCUGUUUGAAAAUGUAUUCUUCAGAGUAAUAUGCCCCCAAUGAUAUAAUAAAUAUAUUUUGUAAUAAUCAAUAAGUAAAUUUUAUUUUGAAUUCAUUGGACACCAAAUAAUUGUGUAUUUUUUUUUGAUACAUUAUUAUGAUGGAGCCGUGUAAAAUCCAAAAAGCACAAUCAUAUUUGAGGUUUAUUAAAAACAAAGUUUCCCCAACAACUGCUUUACUUUGAAAACCAAAAUAAAUGUAUAGUACCAGUAUGAUAUACCAUUUUUUUCUCCACACACACAAAACUGCACAUAGAUGGCAAAGAUGAUUUAACAGGUAUAUAAAGUGAGAAGUACACUUACUCAUCAUUUUAGCCUUUCAGUCUUAAAAAAAAAAAGGUACAGAUUUGUGAUAUACAAAUUAGACGCAAAACUGAAAUGGAAAAAAAUAGCAUUUGUUGGACAUCACAGUUUUCAGUUCAGUGGAGUGACUGAUAUUACAUUCUCCACUCAAUAUACAGUAGACCUACUAGAAACAAAAAUCUCUGGAUUAUCUGAUGUUAUCAGAAAAAUAAAUAUAUCUUUUAAAUUAUGAAGAUGGACAGUAGCAUUACAUUUUUAACACAACGGACCUUCUGUCAGGCCUUGAUAUGUGCAAACUGCAAGUUUUUUUUUAAAAGGCAGCACUUGAUGUGAGGACCGUGGAAAGGAACAGUAGUGUUUUCAAAUUGGGUGGCACGGUGCAGCUGUGGCUUAGAGCUGUGGCCUCUCAGCAUGAAAGCCGAAGCUUCACUUCACAGCCUCGGGAGCUGGUUUCCCCCCUCAAACCAAAAACAUGCGUUAGAUUAAUUUGUAACUUUACAUUGUAUCUCUAUAUGUCCCUGUGACAGAUUUGCAUCUUGUCCAGGUGUCCCCCCACCUCUCACACAGUGACGAAUGGACCAGCUGCCUUGCAACCCGAAAAGGAGAAGUGUGGAAAAAAAAGCAUGUAUUAAAAUAACCUCAUACAAACCAUAGAGUUAAAACAGAAUUUAAAAUCAUAACAUGUUACAAGAACCCUCAUUAUAUAUAGAUGCCCUAUAUAUACUGCUCAUAAUGUAAAAUUUUAAAAUAAAACAAGUGGUCAUUAAACCAAAAGGAAUAAUUUUGGUCCUAAGCAGCUAUUCUAAUUUUACUUGGUGCAUUCCUAAUAUAAAUAUAUUUUUUACAUUUUUCCACAAUUUAAUACUGAUGUGAAGAAAAUGUUUAAAUCGUGAUAAAUUUGCAGUAAAACUGAACCUCCUGCAUAUGUUUUCAUUUUGUCCACUGGUUCUUUUCUCCCACAGAAUCUGAAUGUCUCUAAAGUUUUGGACAGAAACGACUCAUCUUCAUACAGUUAUGCUUUAAGUUGAAGUGGAGAAAGCUCAGUUUUAACAGUGACAGUCGAACAACAAAGGACUUCUUUUAUUUUUAAGACACAGAUAUGUCAACGUGGACGAGUCUUGGUGGAUUCUGUCACAACCUCAAUGGUCUCUUGCYUUAACAAAAAAAGCCACAGCGUAGCCAGAAAUCUGUUGUUUGUUUCUUCCAUUAAAACAUCCCCACAUGGCUCAAAGUGCAACCUGCAAACACGUAGAAUACUUCUUGAUGUUUCUCGGUCGGUAUGAAAGGUAAAAAUGUUUGUUUGGAGCAAAACCGAGUCCCAAGUCCACGCAAAAACAUGACAAAAAAAAAAAAAAAAA